UGGGGAAUAUUGACAAUGGGGGAAACCCUGAUGCAGCGACGCCGCGUGAGCGAAGAAGGUUUUCGAAUCGUAAAGCUCUGUCCUAUGGGAAGAUAAUGACGGUACCAUAGGAGGAAGCCCCGGCUAACUACGUGCCAGCAGCCGCGGUAAUACGUAGGGGGCAAGCGUUGUCCGGAAUCACUGGGCGUAAAGGGUUCGCAGGCGGAAAUGCAAGUCAGUUGUGAAAGGCAGAGGCUCAACCUCUGUAAGCAAUUGAAACUGUAUUUCUUGAGAUGUGGAGAGGCAAGUGGAAUUCCUAGUGUAGCGGUGAAAUGCGUAGAUAUUAGGAAGAAUACCGGUGGCGAAGGCGACUUGCUGGACACAAACUGACGCUGAGGAACGAAAGCGUGGGUAGCAAACAGG
rnacentral:rRNA from 1 species